UAUUAAUGAACAUUAAUUUCUUGUGCAUUUAUUUGAUGUUUAUUUUCUAAUCAUCAAUUCUUUAAGCAUUUAACUGCUUUGCAUUAAGAAUUUUGUCCAUUCCCUUUUGAUAUUCCCACUACUGUUCCCAAGACUUAGGGCCAUUUAAUUCCGUCUAUUAGACAGAAAUGUGGCUGUUCAUAUUCUGUCUCUUCAUCUUCACCCCCCUAUAAAUGUUUCGCAUUUUUCAUCCUCUAUCUUCAUCUCCUCAUUUUCUUAUUCGAAACCAAUUUGCUGCCAUUUCUUGGCAUUCUGACGAUCAAUCUGAUCCAAAAAUGGACUGUUUAGUCCGUCCGCCUUAUACUUACUUUGAUGUCACCUUUGGUAUGGGAGGUAUAGGAAAUGUUUUCUGGCCCGCAGCGAAAUUUUUACCUGCAAAAUUCUUCCCAUCGUCUCUUUGUUCUUCACAAGGAGUCAAUGAUGGAAGGCAAUUUUUGGGCUGCUCAUGGGCCAUUUUGCUUGCUGAGAGUGCUUCUCAGCUUGCCUGCUGAGAGUGUUUCUCAGCCUAUUUGCUCGCUAUUGCAGCGAUGCAUUUAGGAAGGUGGUGAGGCCAGUACACCCUCUCACUCGUCAAUCCCACCACUGCAGCGAUGCAUUUAGGAAGGCAGUGUGAAGCUUACUCAGUGAUCGACUGGGAGAUCAUCUUACUUUAGUUGUAUUUUGUAACACGCCUAUUACUUGUAUCUUUUAUAUUCUUGUAAUGAACGUUUGGUAAUAAAGAACUUUAUUUGAACGUAUUUCGCUCUGUCUUUAUUAUUUUUUGAUCGUCCAGAAUGUUUGGUUAUGUUUUUAUCUGUUCGCAUUCCCAUAAAGAAGGAACAUAUUUUUUCAAAUAUUUGUCAUUAAUGAAUCUUACGUGCUUGGUGCCAUCUAAAUCUUCCAAGUGGUAUGCUCCAUUAGGCAAUACAUUGUUUAUUUUGUAUGGUCCUUCCCAGUUGGGCGACCACUUCCCGUACUUUGGAUCCUUGGUAUCCAAAGGGAGUAUCGUCUUCCAAACUAGUUCACCCAGGCUGAACGACUUGGCUAUGACUUUUUUAUUAUAAAAUUUAGCCAUUCUUUGCUUUUGAACUUGC
rnacentral:lncRNA from 1 species